rnacentral:rRNA from 1 species
AUUCUUUAACAAUACUAUUAAACUAUAAUUAAAUUUAUUUUUUCUUUAAAAAAUACUAAAACUUAACAUUAUAUAAUUAUUUUUAACAAAAUAUUUUUUAAUAAAAAAAAAAUUAAUAAAUAAAAUUUAAAUCAAUUUAUAUUGAUUUGCACAAAAACCUUUUCAAUGUAAAUGAAAUACUUUACUUAUUAAGCUUUAAAUUGAAUUCUAGAUACACUUUCCAGUACAUCUACUAUGUUACGACUUAUCUUACCUUAAUAAUAAGAGUGACGGGCGAUGUGUACAUAUUUUAGAGCUAUAAUCAAAUUAUUUAUCUAUAUAAUUUUACUAUCAAAUCCACUUUCAAUAAAAAUUUCAAAUUUAUAUUCAUAUAAAUAAAUUUAUUGUAACCCAUUUUUACUUAAAUAUAAGCUACACCUUGAUCUGAUAUAUUUUCUUUUUUAAAAUUAUGAAAAUUAACAUUCUUAUAAAAUAUUCUAAUAACAACGGUAUAUAAACUAUACAAAUUUAAGUAAGGUCCAUCGUGGAUUAUCGAUUAUAAAACAGGUUCCUCUGAAUAGACUAAAAUACCGCCAAAUUUUUUAAGUUUAAAGAACAUAACUA